rnacentral:rRNA from 1 species
UCCGUAGGUGGAUAAUUAAGUCAGAGGUGAAAUCCUGCAGCUCAACUGUAGAACUGCCUUUGAUACUGGUUGUCUUGAGUUACAGUGAAGUAGAUAGAAUAUGUAGUGUAGCGGUGAAAUGCAUAGAUAUUACAUAGAAUACCGAUUGCGAAGGCAGUCUACUAACUGUAUACUGACGCUAAUGGACGAAAGCGUGGGGAGCGAACAGGAUUAGAUACCCUGGUAGUCC